rnacentral:rRNA from 1 species
AUUGAACGCUGGCGGCAUGCCUUACACAUGCAAGUCGAACGGUAACGCGGGGCAACCUGGCGACGAGUGGCGAACGGGUGAGUAAAGCAUCGGAACGUGCCCAGUAGUGGGGGGUAACGCAGCGAAAGCUGUGCUAAUACCGCAUACGAUCUAUGGAUGAAAGCGGGGGACCGUAAGGCCUCGCGCGAUUGGAGCGGCCGAUGUCAGAUUAGGUAGUUGGUGGGGUAAAGGCUCACCAAGCCAACAAUCUGUAGCUGGUCUGAGAGGACGACCAGCCACACUGGGACUGAGACACGGCCCAGACUCCUACGGGAGGCAGCAGUGGGGAAUUUUGGACAAUGGGCGCAAGCCUGAUCCAGCAAUGCCGCGUGCAGGAAGAAGGCCUUCGGGUUGUAAACUGCUUUUGUACGGAACGAAAAGGUUUGGGUUAAUACCCUGGGCCGAUGACGGUACCGUAAGAAUAAGCACCGGCUAACUACGUGCCAGCAGCCGCCGUAA